GACGGAGGAGGAAAGCGGUAUCCGGAAUUAUUGGGCGUAAAGGGUACGUAGGCGGCCGGUCAAGUCUGGGGUCAAAGGCCACAGCUCAACUGUGGGAAGGCCCUGGAAACUGACCGGCUAGAGUGAGGUAGGGGUUGCGGGAAUUCCAGGUGUAGCGGUGAAAUGCGUAGAGAUCGGGAAGAACACCUGAGGCGGAAGCGCGCAACUGGGCCUCAACUGACGCUGAGGUAAGAAAGCUAGGGGAGCGAAUGGG
rnacentral:rRNA from 1 species